rnacentral:rRNA from 1 species
GACGAACGCUGGCGGCGUGCUUAACACAUGCAAGUCGAACGGAAAGGCCCUGCUUGCCGUGUACUCGAGUGGCGAACGGGUGAGUAACACGUGGGUGCUCUGCCCUUCACUUCGGGAUACGCUUCGGAAACUGGGUCUAAUACCGGUUAGAACCGCACUUUAGUGUGUGUGGUGGAAAGUUUUUUCGGUGUAGGAUGAGCUCGCGGCCUAUCAGCUUGUUGGUGGGGUAAUGGCCUACCAAGGCGGCGACGGGUAGCCGGCCUGAGAGGGUGUACGGCCACACUGGGACUGAGAGAAGGCACAGACGCGGACGGGAGGAAGAAGGGGGGAAUAUUGAACAAGGGGCGCAAGGCGGAUGCAGAGAGGCCGCGUGGGGGAUGAAGGUCUUCGGGUUGUAAAAUCCGUUCGGUAGGGAAGAAGGGGUGGGUGACGGUACCUAGAUAAGAAGCACCGGCUAACUACGUG